rnacentral:rRNA from 1 species
UACGGAGGGGGCUAGCGUUGUUCGGAAUUACUGGGCGUAAAGAGCUCGUAGGCGGCUUGUCACGUCGGAUGUGAAAGCCCGGGGCUUAACCCCGGGUCUGCAUUCGAUACGGGCUAGCUAGAGUGUGGUAGGGGAGAUCGGAAUUCCUGGUGUAGCGGUGAAAUGCGCAGAUAUCAGGAGGAACACCGGUGGCGAAGGCGGGUCUCUGGGCCAAUACUGACGCUGAGGAGCGAAAGCGUGGGGAGCGAACAGG